AGCAAGGCUGUAGCUCAGUGGCAGAGCGUCUGCCUUGCGUGCAGAAGGUCCCAGGUUCAAUCCCGACUUCUAUCGUUA
rnacentral:tRNA from 1 species